rnacentral:rRNA from 1 species
GACGAACGCUGGCGGCGUGCUUAACACAUGCAAGUCGAACGGAAAGGCCCUGCUUUUGUGGGGUGCUCGAGUGGCGAACGGGUGAGUAACAAGUGAGUAACCUGCCCUUGACUUUGGGAUAACUUCAGUAAACUGGGGCUAAUACCGGAUAGGAGCUCCUGCUGCAUGGUGGGGGUUGGAAAGUUUCGGCGGUUGGGGAUGGACUCGCGGCUUAUCAGCUUGUUGGUGGGGUAGUGGCUUACCAAGGCUUGGACGGGUAGCCGGCCUGAGAGGGUGACCGGCCACAUUGGGACUGAGAUACGGCCCAGACUCCUACGGGAGGCAGCAGUGGGGAAUAUUGCACAAUGGGCGGAAGCCUGAUGCAGCAACGCCGCGUGCGGGAUGACGGCCUUCGGGUUGUAAACCGCUUUCGCCUGUGACGAAGCGUGAGUGACGGUAAUGGGUAAAGAAGCACCGGCUAACUACGUG